rnacentral:rRNA from 1 species
GUGAAAUGCGCAGAUAUCAGGAGGAACACCGAUGGCGAAGGCAGGUCUCUGGGCAUUAACUGACGCUGAGGAGCGAAAGCAUGGGGAGCGAACAGGAUUAGAUACCCUGGUAGUCCAUGCCGUAAACGUUGGGCACUAGGUGUGGGGGACAUUCCACGUUUUCCGCGCCGUAGCUAACGCAUUAAGUGCCCCGCCUGGGGAGUACGGCCGCAAGGCUAAAACUCAAAGGAAUUGACGGGGGCCCGCACAGGCGGCGGAGCAUGCGGAUUAAUUCGAUGCAACGCGAAGAACCUUACCAAGGCUUGACAUGAACCGGUAAUACCUGGAAACAGGUGCCCCGCUUGCGGUCGGUUUACAGGUGGUGCAUGGUUGUCGUCAGCUCGUGUCGUGAGAUGUUGGGUUAAGUCCCGCAACGAGCGCAACCCUCGUUCUAUGUUGCCAGCGCGUUAUGGCGGGGACUCAUAGGAGACUGCCGGGGUCAACUCGGAGGAAGGUGGGGACGACGUCAAAUCAUCAUGCCCCUUAUGUCUUGGGCUUCACGCAUGCUACAAUGGCCGGUACAAAGGGUUGCGAUACUGUGAGGUGGAGCUAAUCCCAAAAAGCCGGUCUCAGUUCGGAUUGGGGUCUGCAACUCGACCCCAUGAAGUCGGAGUCGCUAGUAAUCGCAGAUCAGCAACGCUGCGGUGAAUACGUUCCCGGGCCUUGUACACACCGCCCGUCAAGUCACGAAAGUUGGUAACACCCGAAGCCGGUGGCCUAACCCUUGUGGGGGGAGCCGUCGAAGGUGGGACCGGCGAUUGGGACUAAGUCGUAACAAGGUAACCGU